rnacentral:lncRNA from 1 species
GCCAAGCUCCGCUCGGGACAGACGGGUGGGGCCUGGCCGCUUGUUGUCGUCCGCCGCCGCCUGAGGAAACGUUCGGUCGCCGCUCGCUCCGCCGCCGCUCGGGGAUCCCUCAGAUCUCCCUCAGCCGCUCGCUGCGUCCCGAGCACUCCGCGGCCAUGUCGGGGUGGGCGGAGGCCCGGCGGGCCGGGGUGAGACGGCGGACGGCAGCCGAAGCCCACUCGCCUUCCUCGAGCUUUUCCCGGAGACGCUGCCCCUUACGCACGCCCCGAGCCUGAAGGAGCACCGCCGCCAAAAGGCCGCACCGGGACCGGGAGACGCCGGUGAGCCCGGCUCGGAAGAGGCUCCUGAGGGGGCGGCAGCGCGUAGGCCGCGCUCGGGGCCUGCUCCUGAGGAGGUCGGCAGCGCGUAGGCCGCACUUGCGGCCUACUCUGGGCCUACGGCUGGGCCCGGCGCGCGGUCGCUGUGAACCCGGGCCGAACUCGGCCCGCAGUUGCUGAGUCCCGGAGCCGCUCCCGGCAGCACACCGGGCCCACAGCAUCCUCCGGGCCGGAGGGAUUGGAGCAGAGCCGGGCAGGCCCAGCUGGGCGCGGGUUGUGCUCCGUCAGCCGCCCCCCGGGGCUCCGUGAAGGCCUCGGCGCUGAGCUCGCAGGCCUCGGGGCGCCCCUUUUGCCGGCGUUGAGCAACGGCUGUUGCUCCAUGGGUUCUCCUGGCCCGGGCUUUAGGGCUGCAGGUGAUGAAUUGCUGUGUUGUUGAUUGCUUCAGCUGCUCAGCCCUUGGCUCUGCCCGCGUUUACGCACCUCCCAUCUGGGCCAGGGCGUCCCCUGGCACCCAAAACUCUCUCUCUCUGCUUUCUGUUAAGCCCGGGGUUAUAAUUAGCCCCGUUUAUAAUUAGCCCAGCACCGGGUCGGGAUGUUCUCUGCCUGCUGCCCCGUAGGCUGCUGUCUGGCAGCGCUCCUGUGGCUGUAAAUAAAAGCACGACCGCGUCUGUCUUCUAUUUGUAGGAGGGAGACAGGGGUUCUUUGGAUAUGUGUAGAGCUGAUGGUGAGAUGAGGACGUGAUGGGUCAAGUGUUGGUCUGAGGAGUUUUGUUAUGAAUCCUGAUUGAUUGAGGACGUAGG